UCCGUAGGGUGCGAGCGUUGUCCGGAAUUACUGGGCGUAAAGCGCUCGCAGGCGGUCUGUCAAGUCGGAUGUGAAAUCCCCGGGCUCAACCUGGGAACUGCAUUCGAAACUGGCAGGCUAGAGUCUUGUAGAGGGGGGUAGAAUUCCAGGUGUAGCGGUGAAAUGCGUAGAGAUCUGGAGGAAUACCGGUGGCGAAGGCGGCCCCCUGGACAAAGACUGACGCUCAGGUGCGAAAGCGUGGGGAGCGAACAGG
rnacentral:rRNA from 1 species